rnacentral:rRNA from 1 species
GACGAACCGUCCGAACGUUAUUCGGAAUCACUGGGCUUAAAGGGUGCGUAGGCGGCGCGGAAAGUUGGGUGUGAAAUCCCUCGGCUCAACCGAGGAACUGCGCCCAAUACUACCGUGCUCGAGGAGAUAGAGGUGAGCGGAACUUAGGGUGGAGCGGUGAAAUGCGUUGAUAUCCUAAGGAACACCGGUGGCGAAAGCGGCUCACUGGAUCUCUUCUGACGCUGAGGCACGAAAGCUAGGUAGCGAACGGG